rnacentral:tRNA from 1 species
GCGCGGCCUGGGCGGCGGAGCGGGCGGCCGACGCCUGGGCGGCGUCCUUCGAGGCGGCGGUGGCCGCGUUGUAGGCGCGGGACGCGGCC